rnacentral:rRNA from 1 species
AUUGAACGCUGGCGGCAGGCUUAACACAUGCAAGUCGAGCGGGGUGAUGGUGCUUGCACUAUCACUUAGCGGCGGACGGGUGAGUAAUGCUUAGGAAUCUGCCUAUUAGUGGGGGACAACAUCUCGAAAGGGAUGCUAAUACCGCAUACGUCCUACGGGAGAAAGCAGGGGAUCACUUGUGACCUUGCGCUAAUAGAUGAGCCUAAGUCGGAUUAGCUAGUUGGUGGGGUAAAGGCCUACCAAGGCGACGAUCUGUAGCGGGUCUGAGAGGAUGGUCCGCCACACUGGGACUGAGACACGGCCCAGACUCAUACGGGAGGCAGCAGUGGGGAAUAUUGGACAAUGGGGGGAACCCUGAUCCAGCCAUGCCGCGUGUGUGAAGAAGGCCUUAUGGUUGUAAAGCACUUUAAGCGAGGAGGAGGCUCCUUUGGUUAAUACCCAAGAUGAGUGGACGUUACUCGCAGAAUAAGCACCGGCUAACUCUGUGCCAGCCGCCGCCGUAACAC